AGGAGAUGUAUGUUAGAAUUAUACAGGCUUUC
rnacentral:tRNA from 1 species